AUACUUACCUGGAUGGGGUCAAUGGGCUAUCAUAAGACCCAUGGCCUAGAUUGGUGACUUCUAUUGCACUUAGGAAGGGUGCCAACCUAAGGUCUACCCAAGUGGUGGAGCCUACAUCAUAAUUUGUGGCAAUAGGGACCUGCGUUCGCGCGGCCCCUUC